rnacentral:rRNA from 1 species
AUACCCUAUUAUUCUAAACUUAUAUUUAACUUGAAUAUUAUUAGCUAUGUUCUUUUAAACUCAAAGAAUUUGGCGGUAAUUUAAAUCUGUUUAGGGGAACCUGUUGUGUAAUUGAUAAACCACGAUAGUUUAUACUUUGGAUUUAUUUGUAUACCUCUAUUUUAGAAUCUUUUUUAAAAAUAUUUUUAUUUAGAUAUUAUCUUUUAUGUUAGGUCAAGGUGCAGUUUUAAUUUAAAGAAUUAAUGGGUUACUUUGUUAUUAAUUUAUUUAUUUUACUUAUUUUUAAUUUUUAUUAGGAUUUAAUAGUAAUUUAAUUUAAUUUAAUUUAAUGAAUUCAGCUCUAAUUUAUGUACACAUC